UGGUCUAAUCGGUUAAGACGUCGCCCCGAAUAGGCGAAGGUCGCAGGUUCGAUCCCCGC
rnacentral:tRNA from 1 species